rnacentral:rRNA from 1 species
GGAUCAUUACACAAUAAAAUAUGAAGGCUGUACGCGGCUGUGCUCUCGGGCCAGUUUUGCGGAGGCUGAAUUAUUUAUUACCCUUGUCUUUUGCGCACUUGUUGUUUCCUGGGCGGGUUCGCCCGCCACCAGGACCACAUCAUAAACCUUUUUUAUGCAGUUGCAAUCAGCGUCAGUAUAACAAAUGUAAAUCAUUUACAACUUUCAACAACGGAUCUCUUGGUUCUGGCAUCGAUGAAGAACGCAGCGAAAUGCGAUACGUAGUGUGAAUUGCAGAAUUCAGUGAAUCAUCGAAUCUUUGAACGCACAUUGCGCCCUUUGGUAUUCCAAAGGGCAUGCCUGUUCGAGCGUCAUUUGUACCCUCAAGCUUUGCUUGGUGUUGGGCGUUUUUUGUCUUUGGUUGCCAAAGACUCGCCUUAAAAGGAUUGGCAGCCGGCCUACUGGUUUCGCAGCGCAGCACAUUUUUGCGCUUGCAAUCAGCAAAAGAGGACGGCAAUCCAUCAAGACUCCUUCUCACGUUUGACCUCGGAUCAGGUAGGGAUACCCGCUGAACUUAAGCAU